rnacentral:lncRNA from 1 species
GAAAUCAUAUAAUUCAUACCUUGCAUGGCUUGACCCUCCAGCACAUAAUAAAAAGGGAUUUACAGCUAGCUUAGGGAGAACAAUCAUACCCUAGGCAUUGUCUUGGGUCCCUAAUCCCAUCUUUGGAAAUGGCACUUCUCCGACCUCAGUCACCUGAGAUACCAACUGUUCUUCCCCAUUGAAAUGUGUGACUAGUUAUCAAAAUUUUAGACACCAUGUAAUUCUGGACCUUGCAUUUCCACUUUCAAGGUUUUUCUGAAGACAUAAAGACAAAAAUGUAUGCAAAAUAUGCAUGCUCACUAUAGCACUUUUUAUAAUAACAAAAAAUAUAAUUAGAUAUUAGAAACAAUAUAAUAUACAUUAUAUAAAUUAAAUUAAUAUUCACAUAGAUAACAAUUUAAAUAAGGCAUAUGUCAUUCAUAUGUGCAAUGUAUCAUUCAUGUAUGUUUGUAAAUAUUUAGAAAAUGUCUUGAAAAAAGCACAUCAAUGUGAACAGUGGUUUCCUCUAAUUUGUGGAAUUUAUGGAUGAAGAGAAUGAAAGUUACAUAUAUGCAUAUAUGUAACUACAGUUAUACAUAAUUAUAGUUGUAUAUAAUUAUAUAUAACAUGUUAAUUAUAUUCCAUAUGAUUAUAUGAUAAUUAUAUGUAUAUAUUUCUAUAUUCUGAUGAUCUUUAAAAUAAUUUUUAAACUUUUUAAGAUAACUAUAGAUUCACAUGAAGUUUUAAGAAAUCAUACAGAGCAAUCCAGCAUAUUUUCUACCAAGUUUCCUCCAAUGGUAGUAUCUUGCAAAACUAUGCUGCUACAUCAAAACCAGUAUGCUGACAUUGAUACAGGUAAAACACAGAAUAUUUCUGUCCUCAUAAGGAUCUCUCAUACAGCUCUUAUAUAACACACUCACUUCCUUCCUGCCCCCAUCGUCUCCUUAACCCCUGGAAAUUACAAAUUUGUUCUUUAUUUCUAUAAUUUUGUCAUUUUGAGAAUGUUACAUAAAUAAAAGUAUACAAAAUUUAACCUUUGGGGUUUGACAUUUUUUCACUCAGCAUAAUUCUCUAAGGAUGCAUCCAGGUUACUGUGUAUAUAAAUAGUUUGUUCUCCUUUUUUGUUGAAUAGUAUUUCUUUACAAAGAUGUCCAAAAUUUAUCCAUUCAUCCACUG